AUACCCUAUUAUUAAUUUCUUAAUUUUUAUUGAUUACUAUUAGUUAAUUUCUUUAAAAAUCAAAGAAUUUGGCGGUUAAUUAAUUCUUUUUAGAGGAACAUGUAUAUUAAUCGAUAAUCCACGAUAUUUUUUACCAUUAUAGUAUUUGUAUACCUCUAUUGUAAGAAUAUUGUAAAAAUAAUUUUCUCUAACUUUUAAGUAAAAUUUUAGGUCAAGGUGCAGUUUUGUUAUGGUUUUUAUGUGUUACUUAAAUAUUAUAUAAUAAUAAGUUCUUUUUGAUUAAUUUAGGAUUUAAUAGUAAAUUUUAUUAAUUAAUUAGGUUAAAUAUAGUUCUAAUUAAUGUACACAUC
rnacentral:rRNA from 1 species